rnacentral:rRNA from 1 species
UACGUAGGGGGCAAGCGUUGUCCGGAAUCAUUGGGCGUAAAGAGCGUGUAGGCGGUUCGAUAAGUCUGCUGUGAAAGUCCAGGGCUCAACCCUGGGAUGCCGGUGGAUACUGUCGAACUCGAGUCCGGAAGAGGAGUGUGGAAUUCCUGGUGUAGCGGUGAAAUGCGCAGAUAUCAGGAGGAACACCGGUGGCGAAGGCGGG